rnacentral:lncRNA from 1 species
CGAAAACACGCGGGUCCUCGGGGUAGCAAAACGGAGCGGGUCGGUUAUUACCUCAGACGACGUCGUUUUUCAAGCCAUUGUAUUUGGCUUAAACGGCGUCGUUUUCUGCUUUCCUUAUAAGGCUAAGUAUAGCCUUCAAACAGCUGAACCACUGCCCAAACCCUAGCCCCCCCUUUUCUUUGUUUAUUCAGUCGAAUCCCAAGAGGCCCUUUAGGCUCCGAUCUAUCUCCAUGACAGGGGACCAAACCAUCUGAGCCUUGGAGUCCCUUUUUAACCUUAAGACCCCCUCGACAGUUCGAUUCUGGCGAAGAGGAAGGGAUCCCGCGGCGUGCUUUCGAGGUAAGGUCUCCUUUUCUUUUUGGUUUGAUUUCCCUUUAAAAAAAACAAAAGCUAAUGGCUAAAAAGGAAACGAGCGAUCGGAGAACUCAGAAGAAAACUCGAGAAGAAAUCACCUUUUAGGAUUUUAAUCGCCUUUUUGUAUUGUGUAUUGAGCCUUUUGUAUUCUCUUUCAAUGUCUCAAUAUGUGUUCGUCCCCUUUACAAAGAUUAAAGACUAUCGCUUUAUAUCCGAAAUCAAAAUGAAAAUAAAAAUCAAAUAAAGUUUUCUUUUUCUGUCCUCUUUGCUGCUGUCACUCUUGUUUGUUUGCAGGUACGGAGCAAGGCGCGUGUAUGGGGGCUGUGUUGGUGCUUGGCGUGGGUGUACGAGGGCUGUGCUGGCGCGGGUACGGAGGUGGCUAACGUGGGGGUUGGGGCUUGGUUACCUGGUGAAGGCUGCGGCGUGAGGACCCCUCUGCCCUAGGGUUUGCUGACAUUGGGCUCAUUUUAGAUAUUGGGCCUGAGGGCCUUGUAAUUGAUAUUGGGUUGUAGGGUGUAGAUUUUGGGCCAUGUAAUUGGACUGAGGGAUUGUAACAGGACAUUUUAACGGGCUAUGGUUUAUUUAUUUAUUGUAUAUUUGGGUUUCUAGUGGGCCCGGGCAAAUUUGGCCCACUACAGCCGCUAAAGAAUAUGACUUUUAGCUGCGCUUUUAUCACAAACGCCGCUAAAGAACAUGACCUUUAGUGGCACUUUUACCACAAACGCCGCUAAAGGACAUGACCUUUAACGGCGCUUUCAGCACAAACGUCACUAAAGAACAUGUCCUUUAACGGCGCUUUUUGCUCGUAUUUGGCCUUUCCUAUAGCAUGAAAUUCAGCCAAAAACAACAAAUCUAAAUGAUACUUCAAAUUCAACGAAAAAUAUAUGAUAUAAAUUAAUAAAUGAAGUAUAACUCAAAAUAUUCUUACAAUAAUAUUAAAAGUUACAAUGUUAAAAAGAUUCUUACAAUAAGAAAACAAAUGUCUAAGAUGGCGAAUUUUGCGACUGCUGAAACAUUUUCAUCAUAUUCUGAAGCUGUAGCUGGAGUUCGUCAUACUUUCUGCUCUGCUCUGC